CCUACGGGUGGCAGCAGUGAGGAAUAUUGGUCAAUGGGCGCUAGCCUGAACCAGCCAAGUAGCGUGAAGGAUGACUGCCCUAUGGGUUGUAAACUUCUUUUAUAUGGGAAUAAAGUGAAGUAUGUAUACUUCUUUGUAUGUACCUUAUGAAUAAGGAUCGGCUAACUCCGUGCCAGCAGCCGCGGUAAUACGGAGGAUCCGAGCGUUAUCCGGAUUUAUUGGGUUUAAAGGGAGCGUAGGUGGGUUGUUAAGUCAGUUGUGAAAGUUUGCGGCUCAACCGUAAAAUUGCAGUUGAUACUGGCAGCCUUGAGUACAGUAGAGGUAGGCGGAAUUCGUGGUGUAGCGGUGAAAUGCUUAGAUAUCACGAAGAACUCCGAUUGCGAAGGCAGCCUGCUAAACUGUAACUGACGCUGAUGCUCGAAAGUGUGGGUAUCAAACAGGAUUAGAUACCCUAGUAGUC
rnacentral:rRNA from 1 species